AGAACGAACGCUGGCGGCAGGCCUAACACAUGCAAGUCGAACGCCCCGCAAGGGGAGUGGCAGACGGGUGAGUAACACGUGGGAACGUGCCCAAAGGUACGGAACAACUCCGGGAAACUGGAGCUAAUACCGUAUGUGCCCGAAAGGGGAAAGAUUCAUCGCCUUUGGAUUGGCCCGCGUCUGAUUAGCUAGUUGGCGGGGUAAUGGCCCACCAAGGCGACGAUCAGUAGCUGGUCUGAGAGGAUGACCAGCCACACUGGGACUGAGACACGGCCCAGACUCCUACGGGAGGCAGCAGUGGGGAAUAUUGGACAAUGGGCGCAAGCCUGAUCCAGCCAUGCCGCGUGAGUGAUGAAGGCCUUAGGGUUGUAAAGCUCUUUCGCCAGGGACGAUAAUGACGGUACCUGGAUAAGAAGCCCCGGACUAACUUCGUGCCAGCAGCCGC
rnacentral:rRNA from 1 species